rnacentral:lncRNA from 1 species
UCAAACUAAUUAACCUAACUAACCUAGAAACUAACCUAACUAACCUAGAAAAUCAAACUAACCUAACUAACACCUUCUACUUAUUCUAAAGAUAACUAACCUAACCUAACUAACCUAGAAAGUAACCUAGCAACUAACCUAACCUAGUCUAAAGAUAACUAACCUAACCUAACUAACCUAGCUACCUAAACUAAACUAAAUUAACCUAAAAUAAACUCCUUUCCCCCUCGAUCUUUCUUUUUCUUCUUCUUCUUCCUUCUUCCUCUUGUCUUCUUUUUUCUUCUUCAUUUUCCUUAUUUUCCUUUUUGCUCUUCACUUCUACUUUUUCUUCUUUUCUUCUUAAUAUAAAAAACUAACCUAAAAUCUAACCUACAAUCUACUAACCUAAAAAAAGCUAACCUACAAUCUAGUAACCUAAUUAAAGCAACUAAAUCUACUAACCUAAAGCAACUAAAUCAACUAACCUAAAGCAACUAAAUCAACUAACCUAAAGCAACUAAAUCUACUAACCUAAAGCAACUAAAUCAACUAACCUAAAGCAACUAACCUAAAGCAACUAAAUCUACUAACCUAAAGCAACUAAAU